rnacentral:rRNA from 1 species
UACGAAGGGUGCAAGCGUUACUCGGAAUUACUGGGCGUAAAGCGUGCGUAGGAGGUUCGUUAAGUCUGAUGUGAAAGCCCUGGGCUCAACCUGGGAAUGGCAUUGGAAACUGGCGGGCUAGAGUAUGGCAGAGGGUAAUGGAAUUCCCGGUGUAGCAGUGAAAUGCGUAGAGAUCGGGAGGAACAUCCGUGGCGAAGGCGGUCACCUAGCCCAACACUGACACUGAGGCGCGAAAGCGUGGGGAGCAAACAGG